rnacentral:rRNA from 1 species
GAUGAACGCUAGCUACAGGCCUAACACAUGCAAGUCGAGGGACCGGCGCACGGGUGAGUAAUACGUAUCUAACCUCCCCCUUACUCGGUGACAGCUUUUCGAAAGAAAGAUUAAUACCUGAUCUAAAGGACGGGUAUGCGUUUCAUUAGGUUGUUGGUGAGGUAACGGCUUACCAAGCAUUCUAUGGAUAGGGUUUCUGAGUGGAAGCUCCCCGACGUUGGAACUGCGACACGGUCCACACUCCUACGGGAGGCAGCAGUGAGGGAUAUUAGUGAAUGGGCGCUAGCCUGACCCAGCCAAGUAGCGUGAAGAAUGAAGGCUUAUGAGUGGUAACCUUCUGUUAUAUAAGAAUAGGUAUUAGAUGAAUAAGGAUCGGCUAACUCCGUGCCAGCAGCCGCGGUAAUUC